UCUCCGUAGGUGAACCUGCGGAGGGAUCAUUACUGAGUGAGGGGCUCCGGCCCCAGACCUCCAACCCUUUGUUUAACUAUACCACGUUGCUUCGGCGGGCCCGUCCCCCCUUCUUUGGGGGGGGACCGCCGGAGGGUCUCACCCCCCUCUGGUCCGUUGCCUGUCGAUAGCCCCAACCACAAAACUCUUGAUACAAACCAUGUCGUCUGAGUCUAAAAUUUUAAUUAAAUUAAAACUUUCAACAACGGAUCUCUUGGUUCUGGCAUCGAUGAAGAACGCAGC
rnacentral:misc_RNA from 1 species